GUGCCUACGGGACGCAGCAGUAGGGAAUCUUCCACAAUGGACGAAAGUCUGAUGGAGCAACGCCGCGUGAGUGAAGAAGGGUUUCGGCUCGUAAAGCUCUGUUGGUAGGGAAGAAAGAUAGAGGGAGUAACUGGCCUUUAUUUUACGGUAAUUACUUAGAAAGUCACGGCUAACUACGUGCCAGCAGCCGCGGUAAUACGUAGGGGGGAAGCGUUGUCCGGAUUUAUUGGGCGUAAAGCGAGGGCAGGCGGUUCAAUAAAUGUGA
rnacentral:rRNA from 1 species